UUUAAUCUCAAAGAAACCCUUGAGCUGGGAGGUGGUGAGGGAAAGUGAUUGAUGGUUCGUUUGUGGGAGAGCAGUCUGAACUCAGGUGGUAACAACAGUUAAUUUUUUUCAGCUGUGCUAUACUGACAUCCUCUUCACAGAGCAAGAGAGAGGUGUAGGCAUCAAAAGCACUCCUGUGACAGUGGUCUUGCCAGACACCAAAGGAAAAUCUUAUCUCUUCAAUAUCAUGGACACUCCAGGACAUGUGAAUUUCUCUGAUGAGGUCACAGCUGGCUUGCGCAUCUCAGAUGGAGUGGUCCUUUUCAUUGAUGCUGCUGAGGGGGUGAUGCUGAACACAGAGCGGCUGAUCAAGCAUGCGGUGCAGGAGAGGCUGGCGGUCACUGUGUGCAUCAACAAGAUUGACCGGCUGAUCCUGGAGCUGAAGCUGCCUCCAACUGAUGCGUAUUACAAGCUGCGCCACAUUGUGGAUGAGGUCAAUGGAUUA
rnacentral:sRNA from 1 species